AGCUGCUUCAACUACACGUUGUAGAAAAAUGAAGCAAAAAGAAAACCCAGGAAACUCAGCGCCAUAAUGAUUCCUCAGGUGGUCAUCUUGUCAACUGUUUUCAUAAAGAUAAGAUUUUCUAAAAGUUAUACACAAGAUGAAUGGAUUAACCACUGGAAGACCUGCACUACUACAAAUGUUAAAGAAAGUCCUUCCAAGAAAGAAAAAAGGCAACUUAAUGGAAACUUGUGUCUACCAAAUGGAAAGAAGAGCAAUGGGAAUCCUAACUACGAGUGUGAGAAAAAAAGUUGAAUGUGGUGAUGGGGAAAACACUGAAGUUCAAAAGAAGCGAAGACAAGAAGCUACUCAUGGCAGCAGCUUUUCCCAUAAAUCAAGAAAUGCUACAGAUUAUAAAUGAGAUGAGACUAUCAAGAAGAGACCUAAUAGGAGUGUGAAGACCAAAAAUUUAAAAGACGUGGUUAUAUACUUUGAGUAAACUCUAUAUAUAGGACAAUGUUAUUGUUUGGUUCUGUGUUCCUCACUCAAAUCUCACCUCAAAUUAUAAUCCCCAUGUGUCAAGGGCAGGACCAGGUGGAAGUAACUGGAUCAUGGGGGAAGUUUUCCUCAUGCUUUUCUCAUAGUAAGUGAGUUCUCAUAAGAUCUGAUUUUUUUAUAAGCAUAUGGCAUUUCCCCUCCUAGCAUUUUGCCUCCUGCUGCCUUGCAAAGACGGCAGUUGCUUCCCCUUUGCCUUCCGCCAUGACUGUAAGUUCCCUGAGUCCUCUCCAGCCAUGUGGAAC
rnacentral:lncRNA from 1 species